UACGUAGGAUCCAAGCGUUGUCCGGAUUUACUGGGUGUAAAGAGUGCGCAGGCGGACUGGUCAGUCUUGGGUGAAAUCUCGCUGCUUAACAGCGAAACUGCCUUAGAUACUAUCAGUCUUGAAUCAGCGAGAGGUUCGUGGAAUUCCGAGUGUAGCAGUGAAAUGUGUAGAUAUUCGGAAGAACACCAGUGGCGAAGGCAGCGAACUGGCGCUCGAUUGACGCUCAGGCACGAAAGCAUGGGGAUCAAACAGG
rnacentral:rRNA from 1 species